AAAAACUGAGGUGGUAUACGAUGGUUCCGCGUCUGAUUAGCUAGUUGGUGGGGUAAAAGCCUACCAAGGCAACGAUCAGUAGCCGGCCUGAGAGGGUGAACGGCCACAUUGGGACUGGGACACGGCCCAAACUCCUACGGGAGGCAGCAGUGGGGAAUAUUGCACAAUGGGGGAAACCCUGAUGCAGCGACGCCGCGUGAGUGAAGAAGUAUUUCGGUAUGUAAAGCUCUAUCAGCAGGGAAGAAAUACUGACCAUAGGGUCAGCAGACGGUACUUGACUAAGAAGCCCCGGCUAACUACGUGCCAGCAGCCGCGGUAAUACGUAGGGGGCAAGCGUUAUCCGGAUUUACUGGGUGUAAAGGGAGCGUAGACGGCAGCGCAAGUCUGAAGUGAAAUGCCAGGGCUUAACCCUGGAACUGCUUUGGAAACUGUGCAGCUAGAGUGCAGGAGAGGUAAGUGGAAUUUCUAGUGUAGCGGUGAAAUGCGUAGAUAUUAGGAGGAACACCAGUGGCGAAGGCGGCUUACUGGACUGUAACUGACGUUGAGGCUCGAAAGCGUGGGGAGCAAACAGGAUUAGAUACCCUGGUAGUCCACGCUGUAAACGAUGAUUACUAGGUGUUGGGGGACCAAGGUUCUUCG
rnacentral:rRNA from 1 species